rnacentral:rRNA from 1 species
UACAGAGGGUGCGAGCGUUAGUCGGAAUUACUGGGCGUAAAGCGUGCGUAGACGGCUAUCUAAGUCGGGUGUGAAAGCCCCGGGCUCAACCUGGGAAUUGCAUUCGAGACUGAAUAGCUAGGGUACGGUAGAGGGAAGUGGAAUUUCCGGUGUAGCGGUGAAAUGCGUAGAUAUCGGAAGGAACAUCAGUGGCGAAAGCGACUUCCUGGACCAGUACCGACGUUCAGGCACGAAAGCGUGGGGAGCAAACAGG